rnacentral:tRNA from 1 species
GGAGAGGUGGCCGAGUCAGGCUGAAGGCGCCCGCCUGCUAAGCGGGUAAGGGAGCAUUAAACUCUCUUCCCGGGUUCGAAUCCCGGCCUCUCCGCCA